rfam:Phlebiopsis gigantea 11061_1 CR5-6 unplaced genomic scaffold PHLGIscaffold_185, whole genome shotgun sequence.
AACGCAGUAGCUCAGUUGGUCAGAGCGUGGCAGUCUUGUGUCAAGGGCGUGGGUUCAAUUCCCACCUAUGUUC